UUAUGGUCAAACGGCUUACUUAUCAAAGCAUCGAUAAACGACAACAUCAACUGCAAAAUUGAUCUCUCUCUCUCUCUCUCUCUCUCUCUCUCACACACACACACUCUCUCUCUCGAUCGACCAAUCGAUCAACAUACUUCAUCGCCUCUCUUCACUGGCGAGCACCUCUUCAAAACUCAUCGUCAAUCCAGCUAAUUCAAUGUCUCUUCAUCGCUGAUUCAAAAUCGAUUUCAGAUUUGUGUAUCUUCACCACCGAUUCAAAAUUGAUUUCAGAUUUAAAUCCGUCGAGUCUUCCGUAUUGAACAACCAGCUCAAGUUCCUCAUCCUCAUCUCCAGCCUUCAUCGGAGAACCUUCCGUAACUAUUUCCCAUGUCUGCUUCAUCUAUGCACAUUUCAAUAACGAUUCCGAUCUCCUCAGCUUCAAAUCCCCUCUCCUUUAGCAAUAUUUCUUCAAUUGGAUUUUCUGAGAGAAAGAAGUGCAGGAGCAUCCAAAAUAAUCAGAGUUUUGUUCAUAGAAACAUGUUUUCAUCAAAAGAGCCACUAGCAGAAAAAGGGCUCACAUCAAAAGCAUUUGAAUCACUAAAGAUUGGGUCAACAACCAUUAUAGUGGAAGCUCCUAAAAUGUUGAAGACAACAACUUGUUUGCCUUGUCUCAGAGUUAAUUCUGGUUUAGUUAAAGCCGAUGAUGUUAGCAGAGAUUGAUCCUUCGGUCACAACUCGCAUGGGAGGGACAAUGAGUUUUUGACAUCAUUAUAAAUGGUGAUAACAUGUUUCAAGAGAUUGAUAUUGUCAAAAUGAGUGGAGAUAUUAAUAGUGCUCUUGUGCUAAAAAUUCAUGUUAGCAGGAAGAGUUUGACAAUAAUUUUGCCAUAGAGACAAUAGAGAUCUUUGAAAUUGUGCCAUAGAGACCAUAGAGAUCUUUGAAAUUGUUAGAGCUGAGGUCAAUACUUCAAUUGAUGAAGUAAAAGCUUUGCAGAAAUUGAAGAGUUUUUUUUAGUUGGAAUGGCGAUCCAUGUGUUCCACAGCAUCAUCCAUGGAGUGGAAUUGGGUGAUGAAUAAGGCUGGAAUGCACAGCCAGAAUGGGCUGGAAUGCAAUCAGGAAUGGAUUGCAGGAAUGGGGGAUGUGACAUCAAGUACGGUUGUUUAUGGUGUAUUAGAUGUUAAUACCUGGUGUAUUAGAUUCUUUUAUGCGAUGGUUGUAAAAAGUAGAUUGGAUACAUAUAGAGUACGGUUAAAUAGCUGUACUCUAUUAGGCAUGUAAUCUAAUACACCUCUCUAUUAAUACGGGCUUAAACUACGUACUAUAUUCAUAUUUUCAACCAUAGUAUAUUACGCCCUUUCUAGUAGUGUAGCCACCACCGGUCACCCUCCUGCCACUAUCAAAACCCUCACCGUUACCAACAGAAAACACCAUCUUCAAGCAUUGGUUGCUAUUGUUUUUGAUCCCCAAGGUUCCCUCCCUACCCCCUUCAUCGAAAUCAGUUGAUAUAAGCAAGAAGAAGGCAACAGAAGACCACCGGAGUGGCCUCCUGCCACCCUCGUCACCCCCACUGUCGUGGAUCACCGGUCAGCACCCUUCUUCGACCUUCACCUCCUUCGUAAAUGCUCCUAAACCCUUUGUAAACAAUAAUGUUUCAGUCGAGUUCCAUAUUCGAAGACACAGAACUAAUUCGUUUUUUUUUUGGAAGUGUUGUUGCGAUCAUGUACAUGAAAAAAGGAACACAGGAGGUUGAUCACCUCCCGUGUAAUCAAAAUAUGCAAAAUAAAUAGAUACAGUCCCUAUACUUCGAAUUCGUCCAACUUUAGUUUUAGACAAUGAAAUUUUAACCAA